AAUUUCAUGGUCAUAACAGCCUCUUGUCUACUGCCUCAGAACGGAUUUCACCAAAACUGAAAAUAAGGGCUCCAUGCUCAGAAGUUCCCUAACGGACUCGAAAGGUUAAUGUUCCUUUCCCUUGCCCUUCUAUAGCAUACGAAGACAGUCUUUCAGUGACAUUCUUCUCCUCAAGCAGGUCAGAUUGGCAAGUAGGGUGACCAACCGACCUGGUUUCCAGCAAGGUUACACAUCAGGGGGAGAUACACUAGACAAGAUAUUAUGGGAAGAAAGGAAGGCCUGAACUCUGGAGGAAGCUGUAAUCUGGGUGAAGAAUGGAGCCGAUCAUGAGAAAAUGGAUCUCAAAACCGUAAAAACCAACAAAAUAUAAAGCAGCAAGAUCUAGGAAGAAGUGUGCAGGGGCAGAUGUCCCUAGGAGAUCGUUUUGCCAGGUGAGGUAAUGCAGGCGGGGCACAGGAG
rnacentral:lncRNA from 1 species